rnacentral:rRNA from 1 species
GACGAACGCUGGCGGCGCGCCUAAUACAUGCAAGUCGAGCGUGAAGCGGGACUUCGGUCCCGUGGAAAGCGGCGAACGGGUGCGUAACACGUGAGCAACCUGCCCCGAAGACUGGGAUAACACCGGGAAACCGGUGCUAAUACCGGAUGUCCUCUUCCGACCGCAUGAUCGGACGAGGAAAUGGAUUCCGCUUCGGGAUGGGCUCGCGGUCUAUCAGCUUGUUGGUGGGGUAACGGCCUACCAAGGCGACGACGGAUAGCUGGUCUGAGAGGACGAUCAGCCACACUGGGACUGAGACACGGCCCAGACUCCUACGGGAGGCAGCAGUAGGGAAUCUUGCGCAAUGGGCGAAAGCCUGACGCAGCGACGCCGCGUGCGGGAUGAAGGCCUUCGGGUCGUAAAGCUCUUUUACCAGGGAUGAUAAUGACAGUACCUGGAGAAUAAGCUCCGGCUAACUCCGUGCCAGCCGCCGCCGUAA